rnacentral:rRNA from 1 species
AUACGUAGGGGGCGAGCGUUGUCCGGAAUUACUGGGCGUAAAGGGUACGUAGGCGGCUAGGUAAGUCAGAUGUGAAAGGCAUGGGCUUAACCCAUGUAAGCAUUUGAAACUGCUUAGCUUGAGUCGAGGAGAGGAAAGCGGAAUUCCUGGUGUAGCGGUGAAAUGCGUAGAUAUCAGGAGGAACACCAGUGGCGAAGGCGGCUUUCUGGCCUUGGACUGACGCUGAGGUACGAAAGCGUGGGGAGCAAACAGGAGUAGAUACCCUGGUAGUCCACGCCGUAAACGAUGAGUGCUAGGUGUCGGGGAUUAAUCUUCGGUGCCGGAGUUAACACAUUAAGCACUCCGCCUGGGGAGUACGUGCGCAAGCAUGAA